rnacentral:lncRNA from 10 species
AUUGAUGUCGAUUUCGUGCUUACAGCAGUUCUUAGCGAAGGGGAAGCUAUGGCUACCGAUAGAGGUCGAUUUCCCCGGAAGGAAUAUUCAAGUUUUCGUGUGUGUGCUUUCCAGGAAAAUAGUUCACGUGCUAAAAGCUUGCACCUUGCCAGCAAUAAUUGCAAAGGGAAAUUGGGCCUCACACUUCUCUUAGCCCUUUGUCUCAAAUAUUUAAUAAGCUCUGUAUUAACUUGGUAUUGUAAGGAGAAACACUUGUUUGGGCUUGCCUAAAAGACAGGAUCACGUAUGAACACUGUGUCCAACUCGUGGAACACAUGGUGCAUAAAGCACAACCUCUCUCUCAAAAUAGUAGUAAACUCAUUGCUGCAGUCAAAAUACCCCUAAUACUGUGGUCUGUCGGUGUCCCCUGCACAAAUUCCUAUGUUGAAACCUAAUCUCCAAUGGGACAGUAUUAAGGGGAGCCUUUAGGAGAUGAUUAGAUGAUGAUGGAGCCCUCAUAAAUGGGGUUAGUGCCCUUAUAAGAGAGGCCCAAGGGAGCUCACGGCAAGAAGGCA